ACGGGCGGUUGACGUACAAUAGAAGUCGUACGGAAAGUGGAGCGACUCACUCUCAGAUGGCAAACGGAGGAGUAACACGUGAAUAACCUGCCUUUGAGAAGGGGAUAACUGUCCAAAAGGAUAGCUAAAGACCCUAUAUUGCCUUUUGUCACUAAGGCAAAAGGUGAAAGCGAGGCUGUCAAAGGCUUCGACUCAAAGAGAGGUUCGCGUCCUAUCAGGUAGUUGGAGGGGUAAUGGCCUACCAAGCCAAUGACGGGUAGCUGGUCUUAGAGGAUAAAGAGCCACAGUGGGACUGAGACACGGCCCGCACCCCUACGGGGGGCAGCAGUGGGGAAUCGUGGGCAAUGGGCGCAAGCCUGACCCCGCAAUGCCGCGUGAGGGAAGAAGCCAUUCGGGGUGUAAACCUCUGACAGAUGGGAAGAUGGGACUAGGGGCUAAUACCUCCUAGUCUUGACGGUACCAUCAGAGGAAGGGACGGCUAACUACGUGCCAACAGCCGCGGUAAU
rnacentral:rRNA from 1 species